rnacentral:rRNA from 1 species
UGGGGGAUAUUGCACAAUGGGCGAAAGCCUGAUGCAGCGACGCCGCGUGGGGGAUGAAGGCUUUCGGGUUGUAAACCUCUUUCGCUAUCGAACAAGGCCCGCUUAGGGUGGGUUGAGGGUAGGUGGAGAAGAAGCGCCGGCUAACUACGUGCCAGCAGCCGCGGUAAUACGUAGGGCGCGAGCGUUGUCCGGAAUUAUUGGGCGUAACGGGCUUGUAGGCGGCUUGUUGCGCCUGCUGUGAAAACGCGGGGCUUAACUUCGCGCGUGCAGUGGGUACGGGCAGGCUUGAGUGGGGUAGGGGUGACUGGAAUUCCAGGUGUAGCGGUGGAAUGCGCAGAUAUCUGGAGGAACACCGAUGGCGAAGGCAGGUCACUGGGCCAUUACUGACGCUGAGGAGCGAAAGCAUGGGUAGCGAACAGG